GCGGCAGUGGCUCAGGAGGUAGAGCAGGUCGGCGGUUGGCGACCGCCAGUUGGUGGUUCGAAUCCCGCUCUGCUCCG